ACGAAAACAUGGACAGAUGGCAGCUCCAUCCCAGAAAAAAAAAAGUUGCCUAAGAAGUCAUGAUCUCAUGGCUUGCAGUCCAGUGGAGAAAAGGACAAUCCUUCAGAACUUGAAAUACAAGGCAGAGUGAAAAACCUCAGGUUAUUUGGACUUUCCAGUUUGGGUCCUGGGAAAAGAAAAGGAGUUCAUUGCUGUGGAGCAACAGAAAUGCAGAAAGAUCAUGAAAAUCACUAUAACACAUGUGCUACCAUUAGAUAAAGAGUUGGAGAAAUUCCUCAAUGAGCUCCAGAUUAUACUCUCUGAUACAUGGUGACUUUGAAUACAAAGGUGAAAAUAUGAGGAUGAGGAAUAUAUUGGAAAUAAGGAAUCAGGAAGAAGGACCAAGAAAGGCUAGAGAUUUGUAAAAUAAAAAUAAGGCACAUCUCUGUGGAAAGAGAAAUCCUUCAGGUGCUCUUCAUUGUGGAUGACUGUGCUGUUUUCAUCAAGUUCAAGAACAUUACACUUUACAGAACCUUUUGAAAGAGAUCCAUAACCCUUCAAAAGAUUUUGGCUUGAUCAACCUCAUGGGAAGACCAAGUGUACAUGGAAAUGGCCAAUGAAGAAUAUGUGUUUCCCAGAUGAUAGCAUGCAGCUGAAUGGGCAACCUUGGUGGCCGUAUUAUGAGCUUGAGAGUUUGAGGUAAAGAGUUCAGGCUCUGACUAGCAUCUAGAGAUACUUCCUACAACUGAGUCACUCUUUGAAGGAGAGAGUGAUAACAGAUAGUUCAUCUUGAAGCAUGAAAGUCUAAAUCAUGACUUGGUGGGCCAGAAGACCGAGAAUCUGUAUGGCUACUCAAAUAGUGAAGACUAAGGGGAAAUUCAAAUCUGUUCGGCAACCCUACAAUUUUCCCAUGAGUCCUCACCUCAUGGGAAUAUAAAUAAAGGUGAUGCAUAAUAUGUUUUUGGUAUCUGCGUAUGGACCCCUGUGAGUACUGUGCAGCCUCGAAUCUUAGUCUUUCCUUUUUCUCAGGAGAGUAUGAAAGGAGAAAUGGGUUGCUGUUUCUUGUGGUAUUUGCUAAAUAGUCUAUAAGUUCUUUGUAUUUUAAGCAUUUCUUUUGAAGUAAUGGAAAAAAUGUAUUUUGAU